CGGCGCCCGUGGACGAAAUGCCCGUGCUUAUCCAGGGUGCUUAGCGCGAAAUUCCGAUUAUAUUUAAUCCGUGUACGGGCCGGGGGCGAGAGGCAUCGCAGAGUUCAUCAGACCCGCGCUCGCCAGCUCGAGCGAGGGCGAGAAAAAUACUCUAUCCAUUCCAUUCCAGUCUAGUCUACUCCAGUAGAGAAGCAAAAGCCUCGCCUCCAUUCCGUUACUUGUAGUCGUGAUAGAUAGAUAGAUCCCACCACAGCCCUUCCGAUCCUCAAGAGUCACCGCCGCACGCCGACCGACGAUCAGCCCCGCCUCCUCCUGCCACCACCGCCUUUCCUCCCUCCUCCGCCGCGUCCGUCUUCGCCAAUCCGCCGAGUUUCCCCGGAGUUUCCGCCACCCUCUUUCGAAAUUUUGUUGCUGGUUAAUGCUGGUCCUGGGGAUGGGCGGCGGCGUCUUCUCUUGUCCGGUGGCGGCGAUCUGUCGAUGUGGCGGUCGCGUGGGCGGCGGGAGGAGGAGCACCUGAGACGGUGCCGCUCUGCCGCCGUGUUCCCUUUGACCGAAAGGGGCCGCUCCUUUCCGGAAAGGGGGAAUUUGUUUCCGCGCUUCUGGCGACUUCCUUUGCGCCGAUUCCAUUCCUUGUUGCCUCGCUAAAUCUCGCCCGGAUUUCUUCUUCCCCUCGGACUCCAUCCCGGUCGCAGAUCCUUUUCCUCCAUUCUUGCUCUGCUCCGUCACUCGCUCUGCAACUGCAACCUCGAGUUCUUGCUGAUUUGUUGGUGAAGAAGAUCACAUCUGAGAGAGGAUGGCGUCGAGAUCCUACUCCAACCUCAUGGAGCUCGCCGGCGGCGCUGACCGCGACCAGCCGCUGCCGUCCCUCGGGCAGCCACGGAUACCGCGGGUGAUGACGGCGUCUGGCAUUGUGCCCGGCCUUGACCGCGCCGACGCCGCCGCUGACGCUGACGCUUACGCCGCCUCGGUGGCCUCCGACGACCAAUCCGACCAGCCGCCGCGGGAGCGCACCAUCAUCGUGGCCAACCAGCUCCCCAUCCGCGCCUGCCGCGGCGCGGACGGCGCCUGGGAGUUCUCCUGGGACCAGGACAGCCUCCUGCGGCAGCUCAAGGAAAGCCUGCGCGCGCACCAGGGCCGCGCCCACAUGGACUUCGUCUACAUCGGCGGACUGCGCGACGACAUCCCGGCAGAGGACCAGGACAAGGUCGCGCUCGAGCUCUACGAGCGCUUCCGCUGCGUGCCCGCGUUCCUGCCGGACGACCUCCGCUCCCGCUUCUACCACGGCUUCUGCAAGCAGCAGCUGUGGCCACUGUUCCAUUACAUGCUGCCACUGUCGCCCGAGCUCGGCGGCCGCUUCGACCGCGACCUGUGGAAGGCCUACCUGUCCGUCAACAAGAUCUUCUCCGACAAGAUCCUGGAGGUGAUCAACCCCGAGGAGGACUUCGUCUGGGUGCACGACUACCAUCUCAUGGUCCUGCCCACCUUCCUGCGCAAGAAAUUCAACCGGGUCAGGCUGGGUUUCUUCCUGCACAGCCCGUUCCCAUCAUCGGAGAUCUACAAGACCCUGCCGGUUCGAGAGGAGGUGCUCCGGGCGCUGCUGAAUGCCGACUUGAUUGGGUUCCACACAUUUGAUUAUGCCAGGCAUUUCCUCUCAUGCUGCAGCAGGAUGCUGGGAAUGAAAUACGAGUCGCAGAGGGGGUACAUUGGACUGGAGUACUAUGGACGGACUGUCACUGUCAAGAUACUGCCGGUGGGGAUACAUUUGGGGCAGCUGCAGGAGGUGCUCAACCUCCCGGAGACCGGGCUCAAGGUCGCCGAGCUUAUCAAGGAGUUCCGUGAUCGGGGCCGCAUCAUGAUGCUUGGUGUAGAUGAUAUGGACAUAUUUAAGGGCAUCAGUCUGAAGCUUUUGGCAUUUGAGGAGCUCUUGACGCAGCAUCCAGAGUAUCGAGGAAAGGUGGUGCUGGUACAGAUUGCCAAUCCGGCGAGGGGGAAGGGGAAGGAUGUGAAGGAGGUACAGGAUGAGAGCUAUGCCAUGGUGAAGCGCAUCAAUGAGGCAUUUGGGCAGCCAGAUUACCAGCCAGUCAUAUUGAUCGACAGGCCACUGCACUUCUAUGAGAGGAUGGCAUACUAUGUUGUUGCUGAGUGCUGCUUGGUGACCGCAGUGAGGGAUGGCAUGAAUCUUAUACCAUAUGAGUACAUCAUUGCUAGGCAAGGGAAUGAGAAGAUUGACAGGAUCCUGGGUCUCAGCCCUUUCACAAGGAAGAAGAGCAUGCUUGUCGUGUCGGAAUUCAUUGGCUGCUCACCCUCCCUGAGUGGCGCGAUUCGGGUGAACCCUUGGAACAUUGAGUCGGUGGCCGAGGCAAUGGACAAGGCCUUGCACACAGGUGAAGGUGAGCAGGUGCUGAGGCACGAGAAGCAUCACAAAUUUGUGAGCACACAUGAUGUCGGAUACUGGGCAAACAGCUUCCUGCAGGAUCUGGCGAGGACUUGCCAAGACCAUAACAAGAGGCGCUGCUGGGGCAUAGGAUUUGGGCUAAGGUUCAGAUGUGUGGCCCUUGAUACGAGCUUCAAGAAGCUCGCGGUUGAGCAGCUUGUCUAUGCCUACCGGAAGGCAAGCACGCGCGCCAUUCUCUUGGACUAUGAUGGUACGCUGAUGCCCGAGUCAUCGUUUGGUAAGAUGCCGAGCUCCAAAACAAUAAACAUGUUGAACAGCCUCUGUCGCGAUGAGAAGAACUUGGUCUUAAUCACAAGCACAAAGACCAGGGCGACCUUAAGUGAAUGGUUCUCAGCAUGUGAGGACCUAGGCCUUGCUGCUGAGCAUGGCUACUUCAUCAGGCUGGAAAGAGAUGCAGAAUGGGAGACAUGCGGCCUGGCAACAGACUUCAGCUGGAAGCAAAUCGCGGAGCCGGUGAUGAAGACCUACACCGAGACAACGGACGGGUCGAUCAUCGAGGACAAGGAGACAGCAAUCGUGUGGUGCUACAAGGACGCUGACCGUGAUUUUGGAUCUUGCCAGGCCAAGGAGCUCCAUGACCACCUGGAGAGUGUCCUCUCCAACGAGCCGGUAUCAGUCAAAGCUGACCUGAACUAUGUUGAGGUGAAGCCACAGGGUGUGAGCAAGGGUCUGGUGGCGAAGCGGAUGCUGUCGACAAUGCAGGAGCUGGGGCUCCCGCCCGACUUCGUCCUCUGCGUCGGGGACGACCGUUCCGACGAGGACAUGUUCGAGGUGAUCACCACCGCGGUGGACGGCCCCUACCUGAGCCCCGGUGCGACGGUCUUCGCCUGCACCGUCGGCCAAAAGCCCAGCAAGGCCAAGUACUACCUGGACGAACCCGCCGACAUCAAGCGCAUGAUCCGGGCCCUCGCGAGGGUCUCCGACCAGGAGCUGGCGAUGGAGGAGGGCGAAGACCCUCCUUACCCUUUCCUCGCCGGCGACGACACCAGCACCGACGACACCUGGCUGAACUGAGGGGGGAAGCCGGCAGACAAGACCAGCAGCAGCGCAGCCCCGGCCUGAAUAAGACAGCAUAAUGGAUGGACCGUGCCGUCGUAAACGGCAGCAUGUUGUGUUCCGCUUGGUUGUUGUUCUGCCUGUUUCGCCGUUGUGUAUAUAGACUCCGUUGAACUUGGUUAAAUUACCGGCUAAAAAUUUCCAGACCAUCUACCCGCU
rnacentral:rRNA from 1 species